GACGAACGCUGGCGGCGUGCCUAACACAUGCAAGUCGAACGGAACUAUUUUGGAAACUCCUUCGGGAGCGGAAUCUUUAGUUUAGUGGCGGACGGGUGAGUAACGCGUGAGCAAUCUGCCUUUAAGAGGGGGAUAACAGUCGGAAACGGCUGCUAAUACCGCAUAAAGCAUUGAAUUCGCAUGUUUUCGAUGCCAAAGGAGCAAUCCGCUGUUAGAUGAGCUCGCGUCUGAUUAGCUAGUUGGCGGGGUAACGGCCAACCAAGGCGACGAGCAGUAGCCGGACUGAGAGGUUGAACGGCCACAUUGGGACUGAGACACGGCCCAGACUCCUACGGGAGGCAGCAGUGGGGAAUAUUGCGCAAUGGGGGAAACCCUGACGCAGCAACGCCGCGUGAUUGAAGAAGGCCUUCGGGUUGUAAAGAUCUUUAAUUCGGGACGAAUUUUGACGGUACCGAAAGAAUAAGCUCCGGCUAACUACGUGCCAGCCGCCGCAGUAA
rnacentral:rRNA from 1 species